AAUCAACGCUGGCGGCGUGCCUAACACAUGCAAGUCGAACGCGAAAGCCCCGCAAGGGGCAAGUAGAGUGGCAAACGGGUGAGUAACACGUGGGUGACCUGCCUUCGAGUGGGGGAUAACGUCCCGAAAGGGACGCUAAUACCGCAUGACAUCCCGCCUUUGAACAGGCGGAGAUCAAAGCUGGGGAUCGCAAGACCUGGCGCUCAAAGAGGGGCCCGCGCCUGAUUAGCUAGUUGGUGGGGUAAUGGCUCACCAAGGCAUCGAUCAGUAUCCGGCCUGAGAGGGCGGACGGACACACUGGGACUGAGACACGGCCCAGACUCCUACGGGAGGCAG
rnacentral:rRNA from 1 species